rnacentral:rRNA from 1 species
GCCGUGGCGGGGUGCUUACCAUGCAAGUCGAACGAUGAAGCCCAGCUUGCUGGGUGGAUUAGUGGCGAACGGGUGAGUAACACGUGAGUAACCUGCCCUUGACUCUGGGAUAAGCCUGGGAAACUGGGUCUAAUACCGGAUAGGAACGUCCACCGCAUGGUGGGUGUUGGAAAGAUUUAUCGGUCAUGGAUGGACUCGCGGCCUAUCAGCUUGUUGGUGAGGUAAUGGCUCACCAAGGCGACGACGGGUAGCCGGCCUGAGAGGGUGACCGGCCACACUGGGACUGAGACACGGCCCAGACUCCUACGGGAGGCAGCAGUGGGGAAUAUUGCACAAUGGGCGAAAGCCUGAUGCAGCGACGCCGCGUGAGGGAUGACGGCCUUCGGGUUGUAAACCUCUUUCAGUAGGGAAGAAGCGAAAGUGACGGUACCUGCAGAAGAAGCACCGGCUAACUACGUGCCAGCAGCCGCGGUAAUACGUAGGGUGCGAGCGUUAUCCGGAAUUAUUGGGCGUAAAGAGCUCGUAGGCGGUUUGUCGCGUCUGUCGUGAAAGUCCGGGGCUUAACCCCGGAUCUGCGGUGGGUACGGGCAGACUAGAGUGCAGUAGGGGAGACUGGAAUUCCUGGUGUAGCGGUGGAAUGCGCAGAUAUCAGGAGGAACACCGAUGGCGAAGGCAGGUCUCUGGGCUGUAACUGACGCUGAGGAGCGAAAGCAUGGGGAGCGAACAGGAUUAGAUACCCUGGUAGUCCAUGCCGUAAACGUUGGGCACUAGGUGUGGGGACCAUUCCACGGUUUCCGCGC